rnacentral:rRNA from 1 species
GACAGAGAGAGACAGGUGGUGCAUGGUUGUCGUCAGCUCGUGUCGUGAGAUGUUGGGUUAAGUCCCGCAACGAGCGCAACCCCUUAUCCCCAGUAGCCAGCAGGUAAGAGGCUGGGCACUCUGAGGAGAACUGCCAGGAUAAACCUGGAGGAAGGCGGGGAUGACGUUCAAAUCAUCAUGCCCCUUAUGAUUUGGGCUACACACGUGCUACAAUGGCGUGAACAGAGGGAAGCAGAGCCGCGAGGCCGAGCGAAUCUCAAAAAACGCGUCCCAGUUCGGACUGUAUCUGCAACCCGACUACACGAAGCUGGAAUCGCUAUAAUCGCAGAUCAAAAUGCUGCGGUGAAUACGUUCCCGGGUCUU